CUGAAGUUUGUGCUUCUGAUUGGGUGAGCACCGUUGUGACACUGCCCGGAGACGGCCGCCACUUGCCCCUCUGAUUGGCUGACCAUUAUCGUAACACCGCCCCUGAGACAGCCCCUGAUUGCCAGAAUCUUCUUGAGAGAGGAGAUUUGCGCUUCUGAUUGGCUCAGAAAACCUUGUUACACAACCCACUACGCUUUCCGGAAUUUUCCUGAGGUUCAUCAUUUUAGCUGCAGACUGAGGUGAUUCGUCCAUAUUUCUAACUGCUGACUGAGACCGAGGUGAUUAGUUAAUAUAUUUAACUGCUGACUGAGGUGAGUAGGAUAAGUGACUGAGGUGAGUAGGAUCCAUUACUGAGGUGAGUACCAUUAGUUCAUAUUUUUAACUGCUGCUGGAGGUAAGU